rnacentral:rRNA from 1 species
GAGGAAUAUUGGUCAAUGGACGAGAGUCUGAACCAGCCAAGUAGCGUGAAGGAUGACUGCCCUAUGGGUUGUAAACUUCUUUUAUACGGGAAUAAAGUGAGGCACGUGUGCCUUUUUGUAUGUACCGUAUGAAUAAGGAUCGGCUAACUCCGUGCCAGCAGCCGCGGUAAUACGGAGGAUCCGAGCGUUAUCCGGAUUUAUUGGGUUUAAAGGAAGCGUAGGCGGACGCUUAAGUCAGUUGUGAAAGUUUGCGGCUCAACCGUAAAAUUGCAGUUGAUACUGGGUGUCUUGAGUACAGUAGAGGCAGGCGGAAUUCGUGGUGUAGCGGUGAAAUGCUUAGAUAUCACGAAGAACUCCGAUUGCGAAGGCAGCUUGCUGGACUGUAACUGACGCUGAUGCUCGAAAGUGUGGGUAUCAAACAGGAUUAGAUACCCUGGUAGUCCACACAGUAAACGAUGAAUACUCGCUGUUUGCGAUAUACAGUAAGCGGCCAAGCGAAAGCGUUAAGUAUUCCACCUGGGGAGUACGCCGGCAACGGUGAAACUCAAAGGAAUUGACGGGGGCCCGCACAAGCGGAGGAACAUGUGGUUUAAUUCGAUGAUACGCGAGGAACCUUACCCGGGCUUGAAUUGCAACUGAAUGAUGUGGAGACAUGUCAGCCGCAAGGCAGUUGUGAAGGUGCUGCAUGGUUGUCGUCAGCUCGUGCCGUGAGGUGUCGGCUUAAGUGCCAUAACGAGCGCAACCCUUAUCGAUAGUUACCAUCAGGUUAUGCUGGGGACUCUGUCGAGACUGCCGUCGUAAGAUGUGAGGAAGGUGGGGAUGACGUCAAAUCAGCACGGCCCUUACGUCCGGGGCUACACACGUGUUACAAUGGGGGGUACAGAAGGCAGCUACACGGCGACGUGAUGCUAAUCCCGAAAGCCUCUCUCAGUUCGGAUUGGAGUCUGCAACCCGACUCCAUGAAGCUGGAUUCGCUAGUAAUCGCGCAUCAGCCACGGCGCGGUGAAUACGUUCCCG